UUAAGUUAUUAAGGGCGCACGGUGGAUGCCUUGGCACUAGAAGCCGAUGAAGGACGUUACUAACGACGAUAUGCUUUGGGGAGCUGUAAGUAAGCUUUGAUCCAGAGAUUUCCGAAUGGGGAAACCCAGCAUGAGUUAUGUCAUGUUAUCGAUAUGUGAAUACAUAGCAUAUCAGAAGGCACACCCGGAGAACUGAAACAUCUUAGUACCCGGAGGAAGAGAAAGAAAAUUCGAUUCCCUUAGUAGCGGCGAGCGAAACGGGAAGAGCCCAAACCAACAAGCUUGCUUGUUGGGGUUGUAGGACACUCUAUACGGAGUUACAAAGGACGACAUUAGACGAAUCAUCUGGAAAGAUGAAUCAAAGAAGGUAAUAAUCCUGUAGUCGAAAAUGUUGUCUCUCUUGAGUGGAUCCUGAGUACGACGGAGCACGUGAAAUUCCGUCGGAAUCUGGGAGGACCAUCUCCUAAGGCUAAAUACUCUCUAGUGACCGAUAGUGAACCAGUACCGUGAGGGAAAGGUGAAAAGCACCCCGGAAGGGGAGUGAAAUAGAACCUGAAACCGUGUGCUUACAAGUAGUCAGAGCCCGUUAAUGGGUGAUGGCGUGCCUUUUGUAGAAUGAACCGGCGAGUUACGAUUUGAUGCAAGGUUAAGCAGUAAAUGUGGAGCCGUAGCGAAAGCGAGUCUGAAUAGGGCGUUUAGUAUUUGGUCGUAGACCCGAAACCAGGUGAUCUACCCUUGGUCAGGUUGAAGUUCAGGUAACACUGAAUGGAGGACCGAACCGACUUACGUUGAAAAGUGAGCGGAUGAACUGAGGGUAGCGGAGAAAUUCCAAUCGAACCUGGAGAUAGCUGGUUCUCUCCGAAAUAGCUUUAGGGCUAGCCUCAAGUGAUGAUUAUUGGAGGUAGAGCACUGUUUGGACGAGGGGCCCCUCUCGGGUUACCGAAUUCAGACAAACUCCGAAUGCCAAUUAAUUUAACUUGGGAGUCAGAACAUGGGUGAUAAGGUCCGUGUUCGAAAGGGAAACAGCCCAGACCACCAGCUAAGGUCCCAAAAUAUAUGUUAAGUGGAAAAGGAUGUGGCGUUGCCCAGACAACUAGGAUGUUGGCUUAGAAGCAGCCAUCAUUUAAAGAGUGCGUAAUAGCUCACUAGUCGAGUGACACUGCGCCGAAAAUGUACCGGGGCUAAACAUAUUACCGAAGCUGUGGAUUGUCCUUUGGACAAUGGUAGGAGAGCGUUCUAAGGGCGUUGAAGCAUGAUCGUAAGGACAUGUGGAGCGCUUAGAAGUGAGAAUGCCGGUGUGAGUAGCGAAAGACGGGUGAGAAUCCCGUCCACCGAUUGACUAAGGUUUCCAGAGGAAGGCUCGUCCGCUCUGGGUUAGUCGGGUCCUAAGCUGAGGCCGACAGGCGUAGGCGAUGGAUAACAGGUUGAUAUUCCUGUACCACCUAUAAUCGUUUUAAUCGAUGGGGGGACGCAGUAGGAUAGGCGAAGCGUGCGAUUGGAUUGCACGUCUAAGCAGUAAGGCUGAGUAUUAGGCAAAUCCGGUACUCGUUAAGGCUGAGCUGUGAUGGGGAGAAGACAUNGUGUCUUCGAGUCGUUGAUUUCACACUGCCGAGAAAAGCCUCUAGAUAGAAAAUAGGUGCCCGUACCGCAAACCGACACAGGUAGUCAAGAUGAGAAUUCUAAGGUGAGCGAGCGAACUCUCGUUAAGGAACUCGGCAAAAUGACCCCGUAACUUCGGGAGAAGGGGUGCUCUUUAGGGUUAACGCCCAGAAGAGCCGCAGUGAAUAGGCCCAAGCGACUGUUUAUCAAAAACACAGGUCUCUGCUAAACCGUAAGGUGAUGUAUAGGGGCUGACGCCUGCCCGGUGCUGGAAGGUUAAGAGGAGUGGUUAGCUUCUGCGAAGCUACGAAUCGAAGCCCCAGUAAACGGCGGCCGUAACUAUAACGGUCCUAAGGUAGCGAAAUUCCUUGUCGGGUAAGUUCCGACCCGCACGAAAGGCGUAACGAUUUGGGCACUGUCUCAACGAGAGACUCGGUGAAAUCAUAGUACCUGUGAAGAUGCAGGUUACCCGCGACAGGACGGNNNAAGACCCCGUGGAGCUUUACUGUAGCCUGAUAUUGAAAUUCGGCACAGCUUGUACAGGAUAGGUAGGAGCCUUUGAAACGUGAGCGCUAGCUUACGUGGAGGCGCUGGUGGGAUACUACCCUAGCUGUGUUGGCUUUCUAACCCGCACCACUUAUCGUGGUGGGAGACAGUGUCAGGCGGGCAGUUUGACUGGGGCGGUCGCCUCCUAAAAGGUAACGGAGGCGCUCAAAGGUUCCCUCAGAAUGGUUGGAAAUCAUUCAUAGAGUGUAAAGGCAUAAGGGAGCUUGACUGCGAGACCUACAAGUCGAGCAGGGUCGAAAGACGGACUUAGUGAUCCGGUGGUUCCGCAUGGAAGGGCCAUCGCUCAACGGAUAAAAGCUACCCCGGGGAUAACAGGCUUAUCUCCCCCAAGAGUUCACAUCGACGGGGAGGUUUGGCACCUCGAUGUCGGCUCAUCGCAUCCUGGGGCUGUAGUCGGUCCCAAGGGUUGGGCUGUUCGCCCAUUAAAGCGGUACGCGAGCUGGGUUCAGAACGUCGUGAGACAGUUCGGUCCCUAUCCGUCGUGGGCGUAGGAAAUUUGAGAGGAGCUGUCCUUAGUACGAGAGGACCGGGAUGGACAUACCUCUGGUGUACCAGUUGUCGUGCCAACGGCAUAGCUGGGUAGCUAUGUGUGGACGGGAUAAGUGCUGAAAGCAUCUAAGCAUGAAGCCCCCCUCAAGAUGAGAUUUCCCAACUUCGGUUAUAAGAUCCCUCAAAGAUGAUGAGGUUAAUAGGUUCGAGGUGGAAGCAUGGUGACAUGUGGAGCUGACGAAUACUAAUCGAUCGAAGACUUAAUCAA
rnacentral:rRNA from 1 species